GCUCCAGUAGUGUAAUGGUAACAUUGCUUCCUGUUGUUACAUUGAACGAAGUUAGUAAUCAGAAGCUGAUCCCCGUUUGACUCGGGGCUGGAGCG